rnacentral:rRNA from 1 species
UACAGAGGAUGCAAGCGUUGUCCGGAAUUAUUGGGCGUAAAGAGCUCGUAGGCGGUUUGUCGCGUCUGCUGUGAAAGCCCGGGGCUUAACCCCGGGUGUGCAGUGGGUACGGGCAGACUAGAGUGCAGUAGGGGAGACUGGAAUUCCUGGUGUAGCGGUGGAAUGCGCAGAUAUCAGGAGGAACACCGAUGGCGAAGGCAGGUCUCUGGGCUGUUACUGACGCUGAGGAGCGAAAGCAUGGGGAGCGAACAGG